GACUGCCAUGAACCCAUUUCUGGUUCUCUAGAGCUUUUAAGCAGCGUGCUCCCUCUGUUCCACACGAAGAAUCAUUUCCUUGUGUCACAUACCAAGCCUUGAGUCAUUGCUGUAUGGUUUACCUCGUGUAUGAUCCUUGCCUCCCUUGCUUAUUGACUAUGAGUUUUGUGUUUUGGUUUCGGUUUACAGUGUGUUUGCUUUCUGGUUUUUGACCCUUUUGCUAUCCCAUAUCGAUACCGUCUUUUGCCUGCCGAUUUUGUGAAUAAAGAUCUGCGAAUGGAUUCUAAUACACGAGCCUCGCGUGCUUCAUUACAGGAUACUUCGCCAGUCGAGAAUCCAGUGGAUCUCUGCGCCACCAUCGUCCGCCAGGGACACAUGAUUCGUGUAUAUCAGGAUCAGGUGGCAGAGCUACAAGCCACCAACGCCCAGCUCCGGCAACAGCCUCCAGCCGCCGCCGAUGCACCAGAACCAGCGGCACCGCCACGCAGUGGAUUACCCCGAUUUUCCCUACCAGAGAAGUUUGAUGGCUCUGCCGAUUGCUGCCGCGGAUUCUUACGCCAGUGUGACAACUUCUUUGCGCAGCAGCCGGAAAUCUACGGCAACGGAACCAUCAGGUGUGCGUUCAUGCUGUCUUUACUGACGGGCAAAGCGCUAGACUGGGCUUCAGCUGUUUGGGAUUCUGAUCCUCAAGUCAAGACUUCGGCGGAUUAUUUCACCAAUCUGAUCAGGGAAGUUUUCGAGUAUCCGGUGGGAGGAAAGGACAUUUCUGUACAGCUGCUGGAAUUACGCCAAGGUGUUCAAUACGGCGGCGGAUUUCGCAAUCAAGGUCCGUAUGCUAGCGGCGCAAUCGGGCUGGAAUGAGAUGGCACUAGUGGCAGUGUUCCGCGAAGGUCUCAAUGGAGAUCUGAAGGCAGAGAUGGCAUGCGGUGAUACGUCACACUGUCACAAUAUAUCUCCACUGCCAUACGUCUUGAUAAUCUCCGACGCCAGCACCGACUUCCAGCCACGACCCAUACCCCUUCGGCCCCUGGAAUACCACAGCCCAAGAGAGGAAUCCACAGAGCCCAUGCAACUCGGGAGAUCUUGUGCCUCUGAGGGAGAGCGCGAAUGUCGCACCCAAUUACGGCUGUGCUUCUACUGCAGACAGCCAGGUCAUUGAGUCCUCCAAUGUCCGGAGAAGCCUAACCAAGUAGAUCUCGUGAAACUUGCUUUUAAGUUUCUCUCCCUGCCUUUUUCCUCCUCAAUGACUUUUGUUAUUCUGUCGCAGUGUUGACUGACUCCGGCUCAGCGGUGAAUCUUAUUGACAGCGGAUUGGUGCACGAGCUCGGGAUCACCACCAGUCCGUGCACCCCACCUUUAAGAGUCACUGCAAUAAACGAUCAACCCAUUGGGAAGGGCCUGAUCACUCACCGCACGUCCACGAGUGGUGUGUGGUGAGUGAUCAGGCCCUCUAUUAAACAGACCAGAUUUUGACCUGUCCAGCAUCACUGUCCCUCAACAUCGGUCAUUGGAUGGAGUGAGGAAUUCUCUCUCAGAUCUGAAGAAGAGACUGGAGGAGUUAUGUAAGGGAGGAAUUCAACAAGCUUCAGCAGUUCAGAUCAUUUCCCCACCAGAGCCACAGAGCAGAGAAGAGUUUCUGAAAUAUUUCUGUGAUCUGACUCUGGACCCCAACAUGAAACAUGAUAAACUCAUUUUGUCUGAGAAGAACAGAGUGGUGAGAUAUGGUGUGAGAGAGCAGCAGUAUUCUGAUCAUCCAAAGAGAUUUGACUCCUGGUUUCAGGUGUUGAGUAAGGAGAGUGUGUGUGUGGACGCUGUUACUGGGAGGUGGAACGUUAUUUAUCAGACAAGAACCUAGUAAAAACUGUUAAAAGGAAAUGAUCAAAUUAUAUUUUGUGAUCUCAGCACUGUAAAGUUCAUCUUGUAAUGGGAUCAGAAACAAAGGAAGUUUUAAUUACUGUGGGUUUAAUUUGACACAAUCUAAAUAUUUGCUUUCUAAAAUGCUGAUUAUCAAAUAAAUGGUUUUGUGGCAGGGUAAUGUGUCUGACAGUUUAACAUUAAACUGGAGCAUUUCACUUUCAGACCACCAGAUGGCGCUCACUUUUAAAUUACUUUGGUCUCAUAAAAUGUACGUGAACCACUAUCGCACUUCUGUUUCCUUCACUCUGAUGUCACUGGAUACUUUGAAUGGGUUUUGUGAGUUUUAUCUACAUUUUCAUUUCUGUCUAUGAGUGGGGUGAUGUGGCCCAAAAAUGUGUACGUUUAGUGAUAUCUCUCAGUAGUAAACAAUGCAACAUAAAUGAAAUAAGGUAAUAAAGAUUCAUUUAUUCAGAUUCAGAUUCACACUUAUCACUAAAUUACAAAGAAUUUUUUCAAUGUAUGCAAUAUAUUUCAAUGUAGUUUUUCAGAAAUACAAUAUUUCUGCUUUAUUGCCAUCGUUAUCAUCAUGAACACAAUGCAGUAGAGGUUUUAUGUCUCACAGCGAGACACAGUCCUGCUGGAAAUCCUGUCAUGUGACUUUUAGUGAAGCGGAUCGCUCGGGUUGUGUUUUUGCCACUGAUGGUGUUCUACACUGUAAAACCCGAGCCUCCAGAUAACAACUCUGAUGCGUUUGUCUAUUUACAGUUCUAUCUGGCGUGUUGAUUUUCACACAUUAUAACUUAGUUUUGUGUAAAAUCCCUGCACAUUACCACAUUGUUAAUAAAUCAUCUUUUUUUUUUAUUGUCACACAAGCCAGCUGCACAAAAGCAGAUCUGUAAUUUAAAAUGGCAGCAAUUAAAGAGCAAACGAUUAAAAAACGUUUUCUCUCACAAAUCUAGUAAAAAAUAAUAAAAAAUAAAAAUUACAUUGAAAUUAUAUUUUGCGAUGUUCUUCUUAUAAGAUUCUACCUGCAUGUUUCUUAUUUAUCAGUAAUGAGGUCAGCACAGAAAGACAUAAGAAGAAGACUGGGUCUACUUAAAAUACGUCCAUCAUAUAUACAUAUACUUUUAAAUACAGUUUUCUAAGAUCCAAUCAAUUUUUUUAAUCUUUUUUUUUCCGUAAAGUUUUAUCAGGAAAUUAUAUCUGCUGCCUUACCACCACUCCUGGCGGUUUUGAUCCCAUGAUGGAGGUGUGUUAGUCUGGGUGUCGAUGACAUCAGCAAUCCGGUCCACCAGGUCUGUCAGACCCUGGUCCUGAGACAGAAUGAGAGCCUUCCCCUUACAGAUCAGGGUUUUCUCCUUUGGAUCUGUUGGUUAAACAGUGACCACAAACACCACUGGUGCCAGCUUGAUUUAUUUUUCUAAUAAGCUAAUGUGGUAAAAUUAGGUUUCUGUGCACUUACCCGGUGGUUACAGGUGGUAACUGACAGAUUCCACCCACUCAAGGAUUGUGUUCAGGCCCUGACAUCAAGGGAGAAGCUUGUAGAUGGCAUUGUAGACCAGGAACAGCACCUGAUUGCCCAGGUGAAACUCUAGGGGCUGGCAUGGUAUGUUGUAUACCUGCUGUUGCUCAUUUUGGUCAGCGUCCAUACGCUUGAAGCUAUUUGCUGGGUUAGAGUGUGGGUGUCUCAGCUUCUGUACUGUUCUUCCCUGCUCAUGCUGCCGCUAGCUUUUGUGCCUUUGGUGGUGGGGUUGGUGUCGAAGACCAACCUGUCUCUGCCAAGCAGUAGUGGGAGUUUGGGGAUCAGUUCUAAGUGGGGCCAGUUUCCUGCUGGGCUACAGAUCCUAACCUG